GCCUUUGGCUACGUCCAAUCAGCUGACCUACUGCCAACUCUUCACACCAAAGACAUUAGGUCUGUGAGCUUCCUGAUAUGAAUUCCAGGUACACCUCCUUGGCCACUCCUGCCUGAGGCUCCCCAGAAAUGGCUGCCUUAAGCCACAUACCGUUUUUCCGGGAUUGCCAUUCCUCCACCUGGACAAGAAGAAGAAAGAAGGAAGCUAGCCUCGGUCCCGUUAGAUUUCAUCCCGAAAACAUGGAUGAAACCGGAGGGCAGGAAGGAUCCAGUCCCAUCAGGAGCCGUGUUGUCAGGAAGAGCUCUCCCAGGUGGAGGAAGAAUGGGGUGGUGGACGCAGGAGGAGACAGGAAGAAGCCAAGGAAAGCCUCCUCCUCCUCCUCCAAAGCUUGGCAGAGCGGGAGAAACGAAAAUUGGGAGAGACUGGCUGGAAAGGUCCACGGUCUGGGUGUCCCUCUGGGCCACUGAAGGAGCCAGAGGGGCCUUGAGCCUGGUGUCUGGGAGAGGCUGCUGCAGGCCACAUUCACUGGAAGGAGGAGAUUCCAGAGUUGGACAUGAUGGCACACCAGAGAAGGCCCAGGGCAAGGAUGCCGUCAUGCAGGAAAGCACUGGACCUGGACACGUGUUGGGAAUCAGGGCAGAGUCUGCUCUCCAGGAUCCAUAGAGCUAGUGGUAGGUGGAUCUUAGGUAAAUGCGGCCCAUAGACAAUCCCCAAAUUGUGGUUUCUUCUGAUAUUAACCACGCUCCUUUAUGCCUGCUUUUAACAUUUUGGCUACAAGUUCCUCUUUCUUAUCGCUUGAGAUCUGUUUUGCAGUGGUG
rnacentral:lncRNA from 12 species